rnacentral:rRNA from 1 species
UGGGGAAUAUUGCGCAAUGGGGGCAACCCUGACGCAGCCAUGCCGCGUGAAUGAAGAAGGCCUUCGGGUUGUAAAGUUCUUUCGGUAGCGAGGAAGGCACUUAGUUUAAUAAACUAGGUGAUUGACGUUAACUACAGAAGAAGCACCGGCUAACUCCGUGCCAGCAGCCGCGGUAAUACGGAGGGUGCGAGCGUUAAUCGGAAUAACUGGGCGUAAAGGGCACGCAGGCGGUGACUUAAGUGAGGUGUGAAAGCCCCGGGCUUAACCUGGGAAUUGCAUUUCAUACUGGGUCGCUAGAGUACUUUAGGGAGGGGUAGAAUUCCACGUGUAGCGGUGAAAUGCGUAGAGAUGUGGAGGAAUACCGAAGGCGAAGGCAACCNNUUCCUUGGGAAUGUACUGACGUUCAUGUGCGAAAGCGUGGGGAGCAAACAGGAUUAGAUACCCUGGUAGUCCACGCUGUAAACGAUGUCGAUUUGGGGGUUGAACUUUAAGUUUGGCGCCCGUAGCUAACGUGAUAAAUCGACCGCCUGGGGAGUACGGCCGCAAGGUUA